UGUUCUAUUCUUGAAUACUCAAAUGAGACAAGGCUGCAAGAAAAAGAAGCGUAAAUCUUUAUAUUACACAUUAGAUUCCUGAUUUAAAAAAAAAAAAAAGAUUAAAAAAUACUUGUGCAAUACUGACUGAAGUGUGAAUAAGGCCUAACAAUUGACCUAACAGCUGCCUGAAUUUUACAUACACAGACUGUAAAGUAUAAUUAAAGGGGUUGCCCAGGAUUAAAAAAAACACUUAUUCCAAAAACAGCGCCACAUGGAUUGUGCCCGAUAUUGCAGCUCAACUCCCUUGAGAUGAAUGAGACUGAGGUGUAAUACCACACAACCUGUGGACAGGUGUGGAGCUGUUUUUGGAAUAAAAAAAUUCAUGUUUUUCUAUCCCUGGGCAACCCCUUUAAUAAUGAGUAUUCCACUGCAUUAUAAUAGUAAAAAAAAAAUCCCAUAGUAGGACAAAAAAAUGAAGCAGCACAGUCAGGGAAGUGGGGGCAAAAUACAACUUUUUGAACAUCACAUUGGAACUGAUGCCAAGCUUUUUUUCUAUCUAGUCAAAUUUUGUGGCUUUGGUCUUCUAGGAGACAAAGGGGGUCAUUUACUAACAGAUAUAAGACAGGUUAUUUGUGCCGAAAUCUGUGACUUUUCCCCGCUCACGCCAGGUCUAAAAAAAAAAGCGGGUGGGCCACCAUUUUCUACGAUUGUUUUAGGUGUAUGAAAUGGUGUAAAUCUAUGGCACCUAGAAAACUGGCGUACAUUUAGACAGGUAGUGGAUACACCGAAGUUAUGUAGAGGCCGGUGCCCCUGCAUAAAUUCGGCGCAUCCACCGCCAGUAUUGGGGUCUAAAACGCCGGUCUUAAUAAAUGAUCCCCAUAGUUUUAGCCAAAUGUUAAUUGCAGAAAUGGAGCAAAUUUAUACCUGCAUACAAAGCAAACUUUCACUAACUACCCUCUCCGCAUAUUUUACAUGAAUGAGUCUUAGUAAACGUGGUCUAUCAGACUGCCCACUGUCACUUACAAUGAAGUAGACACUGCGCCAUCUGGUGGCCAACAGAAUUUCAUGGCGAAACCUAAAUCAUUUCCAGAAACAGACAUCAUAUUUUAGCAUGCAUUUUCCAUUAUUCUGCAAUGCUGUACACCUUAUUA